UCAGGAGAAGAGGAAAAGGGGUGAAACCCUAAUUCAAGAAAACCUUCAAAUUGAGAGGGGAAUUGAGGGCCAUUUGGAUGCAUGAACCAAGAAUGUUAAUCCCCUAAGUGUUUUCAAUAACAAUGAGGUGUAGAUGAUAAGCAUCAUGUCAAGAGGACACAAGCACAAAUGGCAAUCGGGUCAAGAGGAGACAAGGGAAUGGUCACGAAUACGGACGCUUAAGGUAGUACGAAUCACAGAAUUUCAUACCAAGGAGUAGCGAUCAAAGACCGAGUCACAAGUCAGAUUGUACGGGAAUACUUGGCUAUGUAAAUUGAUAGUUAUGCUUUUGUUAUGUAAAUUAAGUACAAAAGAUGCAUAUAAUGUAAGAAAGUGGUUCUUAAUGAACUUGCUAG